GAUGAACGCUGGCGGCGUGCCUAAUACAUGCAAGUCGAGCGAACGGACGAGAAGCUUGCUUCUCUGAUGUUAGCGGCGGACGGGUGAGUAACACGUGGAUAACCUACCUAUAAGACUGGGAUAACUUCGGGAAACCGGAGCUAAUACCGGAUAAUAUUUUGAACCGCAUGGUUCAAAAGUGAAAGACGGUCUUGCUGUCACCUAUAGAUGGAUCCGCGCUGCAUUAGCUAGUUGGUAAGGUAACGGCUUACCAAGGCAACGAUGCAUAGCCGACCUGAUAGGGUGAUCGGCCACACUGGAACUGAGACACGGUCCAGACUCCUACGGGAGGCAGCAGUAGGGAAUCUUCCGCAAUGGGCGAAAGCCUGACGGAGCAACGCCGCGUGAGUGAUGAAGGUCUUCGGAUCGUAAAACUCUGUUAUUAGGGAAGAACAUAUGUGUAAGUAACUGUGCACAUCUUGACGGUACCUAAUCAGAAAGCCACGGCUAACUACGUG
rnacentral:rRNA from 1 species